rnacentral:rRNA from 1 species
ACGAACGCUGGCGGCGUGCUUAACACAUGCCAGUCGCACGGGUCUGCCCUGUUUUUUGCGGGGUGGGUCAGUGGCGAACGGGUGAGUAACACGUGAGUAACCUGCCCCUCACUUCUGGAUAACCGCUUGAAAGGGUGGCUAAUACGGGGUGUUCUGGCUGUGCCGCCUGGUGUGGCUGGGAAAGAUUCACUUUUGUGGUGUUUUGGUGGGGGAUGGGCUCGCGGCCUAUCAGCUUGUUGGUGGGGUGAUGGCCUGCCAAGGCUUUGACGGGUAGCCGGCGGGGGGGGGGGGGGGGUCCAGUGGGGAUGGGGGUAGGGCCCGGGCCCCGGGGGGGGGGAGGGGGGGGGGGUAGUGAAAAGUGGGGGGAAGCCUGAUGCAGGGGCGCCGGGGGGGGGAGGGGGGCCUUCGGGUUGUGAACCUCUUUCGCCGGGAAAGAAGGCCCUGCUUUUUGGGGUGGGGUUGAGGGUAGCGGGGUUAUGAAGCGCCGGCUAACUACGG